GUUGCAACUACCAAACUUGAAGUCCAGUCCGUAUUGUAAAUCUCUCGGCUUUUCGGGCAGAAAUCAUGGAACAAACUUUAUUUUGGAGGUUUCAACAUCUAGGCCUGGAUGAUGCUCCGAUAGUCUAAUGCCAAACUAGAAAUUGGCGUGCAGUCCUGAGAAAAGAAAAGCAGAAAACAGGCUUCGGAUUUAACAUUGUCAGCAAUAAGGCCCUAGGAUUCCAAUAAGUUGAAUUUCUUUGUACAAAACUAUUAAAGAGAAGAUUUAUGUGCAAUAUUUUGUUGAAAGAAUCCUCAGUAUUUGUUGUGGUGAACAAAAUAAAUAUUGGCUGUCAAGAGGCAAAUUGUAUGUUGACUAAAUAUGAAAAAUAAAGUUAUACAAAU